rnacentral:rRNA from 1 species
AGUGAACGCUGGCGGUAGGCCUAACACAUGCAAGUCGAACGGCAGCACAGUAAGAGCUUGCUCUUACGGGUGGCGAGUGGCGGACGGGUGAGGAAUACAUCGGAAUCUACUUUUUCGUGGGGGAUAACGUAGGGAAACUUACGCUAAUACCGCAUACGACCUACGGGUGAAAGCAGGGGAUCUUCGGACCUUGCGCGAUUGAAUGAGCCGAUGUCGGAUUAGCUAGUUGGCGGGGUAAAGGCCCACCAAGGCGACGAUCCGUAGCUGGUCUGAGAGGAUGAUCGGCCCCACUGGAACUGAGACACGGUCCAGACUCCUACGGGAGGCAGCAGUGGGGAAUAUUGGACAAUGGGCGCAAGCCUGAUCCAGCCAUACCGCGUGGGUGAAGAAGGCCUUCGGGUUGUAAAGCCCUUUUGUUGGGAAAGAAAAGCAGCAGGUUAAUACCCCGCUGUUCUGACGGUACCCAAAGAAUAAGCACCGGCUAACUUCGUG